GAUGAAGAACGUAGCGAAAUGCGAUAAGUAAUGUGAAUUGCAGAAUUCCGUGAAUCAUCGAGUCUUUGAACACACAUUGCGCCCCCUGGUAUUCCGGGGGGCAUGCCUGUCCGAGCGUCAUUGCUGCCCUCAAGCACGGCUGGUGUGUUGGGCCUCCGUCCUCCUCCCGGGGGACGGGCCCGAACGGCAGCGGCGGCACCGCGUCCGGUCCUCGAGCGUAUGGGGCUUCGUCACCCGCUCUUGUAGGCCCGGCCGGCGCUUGCCGACACAUCAAUCUUUUUUCCAGGUUGACCUCGGAUCAGGUAGGGAUACCCGCUGAACUUAAGCAUAUCAAUAAGCGGAGGA
rnacentral:misc_RNA from 1 species